rnacentral:rRNA from 1 species
UACGGGGGGAGCAAGCGUUGUUCGGAUUUACUGGGCGUAAAGGGCGCGUAGGCGGCCACCUCAAGUCAGUUGUGAAAUCUCUGGGCUUAACCCAGAAAGGUCAACUGAUACUGCGGGGCUAGAGUGCAGAAGGGGCAACUGGAAUUCUCGGUGUAGCGGUGAAAUGCGUAGAUAUCGAGAGGAACACCUGCGGCGAAGGCGGGUUGCUGGGCUGACACUGACGCUGAAGCGCGAAAGCUAGGGGAGCGAACGGG